AUUUGUUGAUCUAAUUGAUAUGUAUGUGAUUAAAUUAGUAUUAUGUAUCAGAAUGCUAUGUAAGACAAUCCUUGUGCCCUGUCUCUUUGUUUUAUAUACCUGAUGGACCAAAUACAUAAUAUAUAGGAAAAUGUACCAUUAACGAAUUUUCAACUGUGGAUACAUGUCUAUCCUUACCAUACAGAAACAAAUGCUAUUAAUAAGCCAAUUAUGUUAUAUUAUAAAGCAGUUUUUUUUUUUUUUUUGUGGCUUUACACAUACCUUAGUUGCAAUAACUCCUCUUGCCCUGGUAGGAGGUCUGAAGUUCAAAUGCUCUCCCACAAAUUAUUAACUAUUAAAAGAAGAUGCAAAUAUUUGGAUCUGCUUAAAAAAUUUGUGUUCAAAUGAUGCUCAAGUCAAAUUUAAUUUAACAAGUAUUCUAGAUUAUAGUUUCUGAUUUUUAUAAGGUUAUAUACUUGUUUCAUACUUAGGAUGGUGUUUUACGUUGUACUUAUGGGAUUCUUAUUAUAUUAUGUCGAGACCUUGUGGUAUAUGCCAAACAGGAUAAAAAUUUUGCUUGGUAGUCUCAAUUUGCCUUCGUUAUAUCUUUUGUAAGUUCAUAUUCUCGUGAUGUUAUUACUGAAAGGAUUAAAUGUUCCUUGCAGGCAUAUUGAAAUUUGAGAUUGUGGCUUUUUAAAUGAUAGGAAGGCGGCGCCUGGGAUUUCUGUUGGGUUAAGGAUGGAGAAUUGCAUGUUACCGUACCAGAAUUUAUUUGUUGAUUAUAUAGUUUUUAUAUUGAUUUUAUUGAUUUGAUGGUGAAAUGGAAUGGGAUGAUAUAGUGACAGGCCAUGCAACAAUUAAGUAAUAGUUUUUGUGAUUGAUCCAUUGUCCCAUUUCUAUGUUGGUGUUUCUUUCUCUGAAACUCUUGGCUUGAAACUGGUGAUUACUUCAAUUUUGAACCUUUUCUUUCUGCAUUGUGAUAAUUAUUGGAUUUUGAAGUGCAAAUGCUAUCUAAAGUUGUUUGAUUCUCCUUUGAACUCACUGGCUGAAGAAGAGGAUGACACAUCAAAAACUCCUUCUCAGAAAAAGAAAAUGAAGAAGUAGAGGAAGGUGGAACGAGCUAAGAAAGUAUAUCAGCUUGUUUUGGUGAUUCUUGGCUAACACUCUCUUUGAUGAUUUCAUUCUGAUGCCGUGUAUUAUUUUAAGAGGCAGAGGAGAAAAAUGAAGAAUCAAGUUCUAGUGGCAUCUCUAAGUCUGGGAAACGACAUGUUAAACCUGUAGAUCCUUAUCCUUUUGGAGAAAAAUUAUUGAAGGUUACCUAUUAUUAUCUUUUCCCUGUGCUUUAGAUUCCUGAUUAAAGUCCUCGUGCUGUAAAAAUGUGUUACGCUAAUGCCUAUUAAGCUAAGACUGUUUAAUCUGUAUUUUUUUUUUUCAGACAGAGUAUCCCUUGUCAGAAGCAACGAAGUACUUGAAGUUGCUUCAGAAGAACUCACCUGAUUCUUUUAUAGACGCACUUACUUUCUUUUGAAGUAAAUAUGAGAAAGCAGAAGAUUUUGCUUGCCUUUCAGGUAUUAUAUUUUCCAAGAAUUGAACAUGAGAUGUGUUUCUUGUUCUUUUUGUGUUUGGUCAACUAGAACUGAUAUUUAAUUGUCAGCUAGUGGUUUGUGAGGAAGCCCCUUUUCUUGUUUUCUCCUCUCUUUUUUCACUUUCUGCCUGUGGAUAUGUUCUUGAAAUAAAGAAACUGUACCGUUUAACCAAACAUCCUUUUCUUAUUGCUCUACUCACUCAAUGAAUUUAUGUGUGAAUUAGAUAGUUUGCACGACAUAUCUUUGAGUUGUAGAACAAUGGUUUUGUGCAGUAGUACUUUUACUAUUUCAUGAGCUCAUAUUAGUACGUUUGUCUUGGUUUUAUUUUGUUUUCCUGAAGGCUGUAAAGCAACUGCUAAGGCUGGAUGCUGAGAAUCCAGAUUCACAUCGCUGCUUGGUAUGUAACAUCUGCCCUACCAUAUUUGUGCACUGCCAUGCACAACUGCAUUCUUUUCUAUUCUUAGAUACAAAGAUCAUGUAAUCUUUACAAUGCUUAUUUGAAUUUAAUCUAAUGCAGAUUAAAUUUUUCCAUAAAUUGGGCUCAAUGCCUGCUCCAUUAACUGAUGCUGAAAAACUUGUUUGGAGUGUCUUAGAAGCUGAGCGUCCAUCCAUCAGGUUCUCUUUGAAAUGGUUUUAUGAUAGCUAUUCCCCCUACUAGAAUUUUGUUGUGUUACUGUUACUAUUAUUAUUUUGAUCCCUGAUGCAUUAAAUCCCUUUAUUUUCUCUUUCCGCAGUCAAUUGCAGGAGAAAACUCUUAGUGAGGCGAACAAAGUUUUCCUUGGUAAACAUGAAGGAAGGUAUUACGACCUUUACAUAACAUGAUGCAUUUUAGGUUCCUUGAGGUAGGUUGUAUAAUCAUGCAAAUUUCACUUUUUGGUUCUGCAGAAUCUUUGAUGCAUAUAGUGGCAGUUGCAGAAAUGUUAUAUACCUUGGAGCAGACCAAGAAACUUGAGGCUGUUAAGUAGAGAAUUAGUUGGUGGAGGACAAAUUGGAAUGUGUGAGGAAUUUGGAGACCUUCUGAAGGUUUGAUUUCUACCAUCUUAAUUUUAUUUAAAUUUUUUUACUUCAAAUAAUGCCCGAUUUGAUUUUUUUCUAUUUUUUUCUGAUGAUAAAAUGUGUUCUCGUUAUAGACUGUAGAUAAUGAUAUUGCUAGUGUAAACUGUUUUAUUAUGUCUUAGCUGUUAGUCAUAUUAAUUUGAUUUUCUGUUUGGUAUUUUUUUUUAAUGAGCUCCAAAUGGUACCUUGGGAUGUUCUGUUCAUUAUAUUUACUCUGGAUUUCCUCUCUCUCUUAUUUAUAGAAUCACAUGAUGCAAAUCCAACGAAAACCUUACUUUUUUGUAGAGCUAUCAAGCUUUCUCCCCUUUUCUAGAGAGAGGAGGGGCGGCUAUUUUUACAAAUACUCUUGUAGGGAUCUUGUUUUUCUUGAUGGCUUGAUAAGAAAUUAUGUGACAAAAAUCUAGUGAUGUGGUUCUACAAUAGACACAGUCCAUUCGAUGGCUUGUGAUAUUCUUAAAUAAUCUAGAAAUAGAUAGUUGUGGUAUUAUGCUGAAAUACUUCAUUGAUGUCUUGAUGUGACAAUAGUAAGAACUCUAGGUGGUUAAAAUUAUGCUUUCAUAUGCUUCACCCCUAGAGAGUUGACAUGGUGGCUAAUUCUUUUAUUAGUGGCUAUCUUUAGCUCAUUCUUUUAGUUAAACUGACUUUCCUAUUUAAAAACCUUUUGACGAUGGGCCAGGUUAUGGCAUGAUUGAAAUAAAGUGUCAAACUCUAGAGCUUUUGGAAUUUGACUCAUGCAGUGAGGAUGUAUUUAAAUUGUUUUCUUCCUGUAACUCACAUUUGUAAUGUAUUCAUUCAUGAGAAUUGUAAUUAUUGCUGUUACAAUGUGCAUCAUUAUUGCCAAUAAAUGCUACUUCCUUUAUGAUGUGUGAUGAAUGUUCUAGGACUUAUAUUAAAACUUUGUUUUCUCAAUUUUUAGAGGAUACCACUUGAUUUACUGCAAGGAAACAAAUUUCGUAAAGCGGCAAUUGAUUGCAUUAAGCCUUUUCUAGCCUUUAUAUACAGGUGAGUGUUUUUUUUUUUUUUGUAUUAGUUUGAUUGGUGUUUUUUAGUUUGACUGGCUAUUGUUUCUUGAUCUUUUGGAGAAGUUCUUGGAAUUUUCUUGAAGCUGGGUCUAUGUGUAUAUUAUUUACUUCUCUUUGGUGACAGAGUCGGAUACUGAAACAUGUUGGUGAUUUGGUAGCUGUGGCUUCAUUGACAGAUGAAGCUAGGUGUAUGGAUCUUGCAGAUCGCUAUGUAAACAGUUAAUCUGUGAAGCGAAUGUUGCAGUCUGAUCAGGUUCUAAGGUUUCCCCGCUUCAUCUUUUGUCAUAGUUAAUAUUUGUCACUAAAUUUCUUUCGGUAUUAUUGUACUGUUCACAAGCUUUUUCUACUUUUGAAGGUGGCUUUGGCAGGAAAAACUGCUGUUUUGUUCACGAAAGAUGGGGGCCAGCACAACAACCUUCAUGACAUGCAGUGCAUGUGGUAUGUUUUUGUUUAUUACCUUCCACAUGUUGUUGUCUCUAAUUAUAAUUUGGGUACACCUACUGAGUGUUAUCCAUCUUUUGAAGGUAUGAACUUGCUUCUGAUGAAAGUUACUUUCGACAUGGUGAUUUUGGACGGGCCCUAGAGAAAUUUAUAGCUGUGGAGAAGCACUAUGCUGAUAUUACUGAAGAUCAAUUUGAUUUCCAUUCUUAUUGUUUGCGGAAAAUGGCACCACGUGCAUAUGUUGGAAAGCUAAAAUUUAAAGAUUGGUUGCAUUCACAUGCUUAUUUUCACAAAGUAGCAGCUGGAGCCAUUAGGUGAACAUUUUUGUUAGGAUCUGCAGCCUUUUCAAUGAUUUGCAAUAGACUUAUUCUGUUUGGUUGUGGCCUGUACGUGUAAAAUGCUAUGCAAGCUCUGUUGUCUACUUGUCUGGGUGCUUUUAGCGUCUGUCACCUAUUGUUGAUCAACACAUGCAUGUGAUGCUUCCUUUUGGGUUAGAUUCCUCUUUGCCUCCCUCCUUUUCUCUUUGUCUUUUGGGGAAUGUGGGAUUAUUGCAUACAUAUAUGUUGCAUUAAUCAUAUGUUGCAAUGAUGUGUUGUCUGAACCUUGCUUUCAAAGCAUGAAAAACUUCUUAAAGGUAACUGUUGUUCAUUACUUACCCUUGUACAACUAUUCAUUUGUUAAUAAUUAGACACUCCCAUUAUGAUAUCCAAUCUAAUUGAAGACUCUUCUAGCAGCCCCUCCAUUAAUAGGAGAGGGGAUAUCAUAUCAAGAUUUUUGAUUCCCCUCUCCUACUCUAACUUUUCCUUGAAUCCUAGACGUAAGGAUUUACAACAUUUUUGAAGACAAAACCUUGCUAAGUUUAUAAUCAAGAAAGUAUCAAGAGUCCUUUUCUUGCACUUGUUUUUGGUAGAGAAUUUUUUGAGUCAUAUGAGCAAAGCAGAAUAUAGGGUUCCAAGUUUUUUGUUGAUCAAGCAACAACCUGAUUUGAACCGGGGAAUAAGGGAUUUGCAAUCCCCCGCCUUACUGGUUAGCCAUGUCACCAAAGGUUAGAAACCAAAAAGAAUGAGUGUAUCCCCUUUAUAACUUUAGUUAUAGAUUGGAUCCAUACCUUCAAUUAGUUAUAGUAUCUCAAGUAAAAAAAUUAGUUUGUUCUUUUUUCUUUCAAUAAAAAAAAUUUCUUAAUUGAUUUAUAUUAUAAUGCAAUAAUAUAACAACAGUUAUGAGUCUAGGUAAACCCCAUAACGAAAGUUAUUGCAUGGCAACAAAAAGUUUCAACCCAACAAUGAAAAGCAGCUUGAGGUUUUUAUUCUUCAUCCCUAUGCCAUUAUUGAAAAAUUUUAUCUUUACGAGUACCCAUUUGCAUUUUCAUUGAUUUAUGAUUGGGUGAGUGUGUUUUUAUUUCAUUUUGUGUUCGUCAUCUAUUGUCUUGCUUAAAGUACUCCAGUUUAAGGGUACCCAUUUGCCUGUACUGUAGUUCAUGACAUUUGAAGAUUUUAUCUUGGUUAAUGAGGAUGUCAAAUAAUUUGAUAGAAUUUCAAGCUGUUGCUAUUGGAAAUUACCUUCUGCAGAUGUUUAGCUCAAGAAUCAGAUUGAUUUAGUUAGAUAUAUGAGGUUGAUUAGGAGAUACUGUCUGGUGUAAUAUAAAAGAUUUUGGUUGAGGGGCUCAAAUGAGCAAGUUCAAGUCCUGAAAGUAGCCUCAUUGUGUAAAAAAUGCUGAAUCCUAAAGGCUAGGAACAUUUUUCAAAUGACUCUUCUUGGUUUCUCAUCCUUCAUUGGUAGGAUUGAGGCUGAGUAAUGAUCCUCUUUAUGAGGGAAGAUUAUACAAAAGGCUGUUUAGAAAGCUUUCUCCAAAUUGCUAUAAAAACCAACCAUCAUAGCAAAACGGCAGUGUCUGUGUUUCUUCAUUUUUGGGUUCUUCCACACACUGAAAUAACCUUUGCAUAUCAACAGGAGCUGACCUCAACCUCUGGACCUUGUGAUCCUUUAUGUUGAGUUGAUGAAGCUAGCUCGUUAGAUUUCGAAGUUACUUACCAGCCAAAGACUAAUUUGUUGAAAACUAUUGGUGUUUUCACAGCAGCUUUAACAGGGACUGUGGCAAUUAACCUAUCAUGGGUUACCAACAUCCAGGUUUAUCUUUAAUUUCUUGUGCAAUCCUUUCUUUGUAGGUUGUAAUCAUUUUUUCAUCUUGGCCAAUAUUUUGUAUAUUCUUGUAUUAUCCACAGAAGCCUUUCUUAACUUGAUCUAAUUUCAUAAUGCAUAUUUCUAUGGCAUUGCUUUUUGUAAUAGGAUAUGCAGGCAUUAUCUUUGAAGAAUUUCUAGCCUUCAAUAAAAGUGGAAUAGAUUGUUGAUGGCUGUGAGUUUAUGGGUGGUAAAGAGCAUAGGGGUAAGAAUGAUUCUCAGAUGUUUAGGAUUGGACUGUGUUUUUCUGUUGUCCCUCUUCUUGUAGUUUGCAUCAUAUUUAUCAUUCUCAUAAAUUGGGAUGAAAACACAAAAUUCUGUUGCGUAUUGGAUGCUUUAUUCAGUACUAUGUCAGGUUUCAACCUGUUUCUCUCAUGUUCAUUGGUGGUGGCCUCAUGACCCGAUAUUCAUUCAAGAGUUAAUGAAAUACAAGAUGCUUGGGCUCUAAACUUAUUUCCUGAUCUACUAGUUUUAUUGGUCUAUGUUUUUCGGUGAGCAAUGGCUUGUCUUUUUAUGAAGUGAUCAUUGCAAUUUAAUAUCUUUUAUUUUUAAUUUAUGUUGGAGCCCACUUCCCAUUUAAAGGAAGGAGCAUCUCCAAUUUAAACCAAUUCCAAGGAACUACCCUAGCAAUGAAUUAAGAUAGCAAAACUAGGUACCUACCCCCAUGGUCAAUUGGGAGAGCCAAAGUUUGUGUUUGUGUGUGGCUUGUUACCAUCACUAGGAAUUCUGCAAAUGGUUACUAUGACUAUCUCCCUUUAUUAAUGAAAUUCUAUGGUCUACUUAUGCUGAUGCAUCUGACUUCUGUAUGGAAAACUUUUUUUUUUAUCAUUUUCUUAUUUAUUUUCGCUUUUAUCUGUUAAUACUUGUGUAAUAAUGCUUGGGCCAUUCACAUUUAUAGGCUCCUUCAACUGAUUUAGCUGUUUCAGAGCUGAAACAUGCAUCUGCUGAAUCGUUUUUUCUUGCUUGGUGCAAUGGUCAUUUUAGAGAUAGUUGAUGCCCCUCAAGGAUUUGAGCUGGUUACUGACAAUAUAAUCACUCUAAAGCCACAGACUCUGUUUUGGGUGGUGAGUUGAUUUCUUUCGGCUAUAGUCAUACUGACAAUUUUAUCAUUAAUGGUUAAUAUAUGAAUCUAAUUGAGAGUUCAGUUGCACGGUGAAGCAUACCCUGUGGCCUAAUUUACCCGUCGACCGUGAAAUUUGUCUAGUGGGUAUAAACCAAUGAUGUAGAUGAUUACAACUGAUAAGAUUGAUUCAGAAGAAUCUUAAAUGUGCAUACUUAUGUGUCAUGGCUAAAGUUAUUAACCUGCCGAAGAAAAUUGGAGAAAGGAUAAAAAAAAAUGCAAAAGUUAUGUUAAAGUAUUCAUUAGUUGCUUUUCAUGAUUCAAGUCCAAUCUCACCUCCUGGAAAUUAAAAUAUUAAGCUCUUAAAAUUUUUAAAUCUUGGCCCAUUCAUGUCCCAAACCAGUGCAUUAGAAGAGCCUUUGUAGUUAAUUUUCAAUUAUAAGAUAAAGAUUUGAUGUUGCAAUUUAAUCAAAAAGAUCUUAAUUAUGUCUUACCUUGAAGAAUAAAGCAGACGAUAGCCUUUAGUAUUUGCCCUAAGCCUUAUUUGUAAAUAUUCUUGUUUGAUUAAAAUCUCUUUUAGCAUUUUCCAAUCAAUAGAUGUUAGUAUUUUGGGAUUUUUUUGAUGGUAUAGGAUUUUUGUAAUUAUCAUUGAGAAACUACUUUUUUAGGAAGAUCAAUUAUCAUUUAAUGUUUUGCUCAUAGAAAUCUAUUAAUUUUUGCAUUAAUGAUACUUAAAUGGAGAGAGGUUAUCUAGGUGAGUACAAAUACCAAUAUUUUCAUCAUGUUUAUUUUAUGGCAUUGGUUGUAAAGUAGUGGGAUAUUCACAGAACAAAUGUAAUUUUUUUAAUGGAUUUUUCUUUUUGGUUCCAAAGGAACUUAUAGAGGCUACUGCUUUGCGAUACUAUAUGUUGAAUGAUAUGUCAUUUCAAAAAAAAGCUUACCUCUUUUCAUAUUGUAUUCUCUAAAACUCUAAAUACGUGUCUUUUUUCGUCUUUCAUUAGAUGUGUGUUCUCAUUGAGUUUUUCUUAUGUUAUGUUAUGAUUAUUCAUUGAGAAAGUAAGUUAAUGUUAUCUUAAGGUUAGGGUUAGUCUUUAACAGUAUUAGGUCUUCUAUCUAGAAAGUAAUGGAUAAUUAUCUUAGGAUUGUAUUGGGAUUUAAUUUAUUUAGGAUAUAUUGGAGGUUUUGAGUUUAGGUUAAGGUUAUAAUACUUUAUUUGUGAGCUUGGGGUUGUUCAAUCAGUAAAAUGAAUUGGUAAUGAAUGUGGUUAGCUGUUGCUUUAUUCAUUUCUUAUUGCCUUACUUUUACUUUAUUUGCUAGCUGUCCUUGUCUUCAUUUUAUUUACUUGCUGCAUUGGUUUUGAUCAGUUUUGGCUUGCUUUUUUUGUAGUUGUUGCAUGGCCCUCAAGUUCUUCUAUUUUUAUUUUUCAAAUAGCAUUGUUAUAGUUAUACUUGGGGGAAACACUAAAAUUAUCCUAUGACAUGACAAUUGUGUUUAACUCAAUUAAUAUGUAAUUGUUAUAUGACACGUUGAAUGGAAACAAUAAUAUCCCUAAGCAUCUUUAUAGAUGUCUUUUCUUGUUGAGAUUUUUUCAUGUUCGGUUUUGGUCCACUAAGAUUAUUUGGAAGUUUUUUGUUUUGUUGAUUUCACUCUAUUUGUUACAGAACAAGUUGGUUUGUUGGGUUCAAUUUCUGAAACUUAAUUUUGACAUGCAUCGUGGUCAAAUGUUUAAAAGGAAGAUUAUUUUCUUUUGCUGGAUUCUUUGAAACUCUCAAUAUGUGUAUGAGAGUUUCUUUGUUGUUUUGUAGUGUAGGGGGAAUUAAGGAUUCUAAAUUUCUAUGGUUGUGUAGCAUUUAAAGAUUAAAAAUUUAUGUGACUGUGUAUGAGAGUUUCCCUGUUGUUUUUCUCCUUGUGUGCUUCAAGCAUUGAAUUCAAUUUCUGUGUCUCGUGUGUGUAGGUAUGUGUUUAGGAAAGUUUUUAUUUUGUUGGUUUCACUCUAUUUGUUACAGGGUAGAUUGGUUUGUUAGGUUCAAUUUCUGUAAUUUAAUUUUGACAUGCAUUGUGGUUGAAUGCUUAAAAGGAAGAUUAUUUUCUUUUGCUGGAUUCUUUGAAACUCUAAAUAUAUGUUGUCAUAGGCUCUCAGUUGGUGGCUUUCUCAUUGAGAUUGUCUCUGGAUUCUUUUUGUGUCAUUUUUAAAUUUUUACAUAAAUUAGGGCUUUGUAACUUUAUUUUGGAAAAUUCUUUGGGUUGUACUUUCUUUAGUAUGGUUUGUGAUUCGUUGGUCUCUAUGAAACUUAUGCGUUAUGUGCUCCAAGAACGACUUGCAAUGUAGGGGGAAUUAAGGAUUCUAAAGUUGUAUGUGUGUAAGAUUUAAGGAUUAAAAAUUUGUGUGGCUGUGUAUGAGAGUUUCCUUCUUGUUUUUCUCUUUGUGUGCUCUAAGCUAAUGGCUUGCAUGAUUAGUUGAAUUCAAUUUCUGUGCUUGAUGUGUGUGUAGGUGUAUUUUGAGAGUUUUUUGUUUUGUUGAUUUCAUUUUGUUGCAGAACAGGUUGGUUUGUUGGGUUCAAUUUUUGAAACUUAAUUUUGACAUGCAUUGUGGUAAAAUGUUUAAAAGAAAGAUUAUUUCCUUUUGCUGGAUUUUUCGAAACUCUAAAUAUGUGUAUGGGAGUUUCCUUAUUGUUUUGUAGUGUAGGGAGAAUUAAGGAUUCUAAAUUUUUAUGGUUGUGUAGCAUUUAAAGAUUAAAAAUUUGUGACUGUGUAUGGGAGUUUCCCUGUUGUUUUUCUCCUUGUGUGCUUCAAGCAGUGAAUUCAAUUUUUAUGCUUCUUGUGUGUGUAGGUAUGUGUUUAGGGAGGAUUUUAUUUUGUUGGUUUCACUCUAUUUGUUACAGGGCAGAUUGGUUUGCUAGGUUCAAUUUUUGUAAUUUAAUUUUGACAUGCAUUGUGGUUGAAUGCUUAAAAGGAAAAUUAUUUUCUUUUGCUGGAUUCUUUGAAACUCUAAUUAUAUGUUGUCAUAGGCUCUCAGUUGGUGUCUUUCUUAUUGAGAUUGUUUCUGGAUUCUUCUUGUGUCAUUUUUAAAUUUUUACAUAAAUUAGAGCUUUGUAACUUUACUUUGAAAAAUUCCCUUGGGUUGUUCUUCUUUUAGUGUGGUUGUGAUCUGAUGGUCUGUUUGAAACUUAAUGCGUUGUGUGGUCUAAGAUUGACUUGCAGGAGAAUUAUGGAUUCUAAAUUUGUAUGGCUGUGUGUAGGAUUUAAGGAUUAAAAAUUUGUGUGACUCUGUGGGUAUGGGAGUUUUCUUCUUGUUUUUCUCUCUGUGGCAUGACAGAUGAGGUUCUUAGGUUUCACUGACUUGGCUUUUUUAGUUAUUGAUGAUGUUGUCAAACUUUUUAUUGUGGUUGCAUCUAAUUUGAUGAAGUUGUUUGAGAAUGCAUUAGGAGAAUGUUACUGUAAAAGAAAUUCCUGGGUUGUGGUUUCUUCAUUCAUGAGUGUGUCUAGUUGUCAUCUGUUUGUCUCUUUGAAGCUUAAUGGGCUAUGUGCUCCAAGCAUACCUUGUAGGAUAGAAGGAAUUAAAGUUUCAAAAUUUCUCUGUCUGUGUGUUUGUCGAUUUUAUUUUGUGUGUUUGUUGGUUUUAUUCUGCAAGUUGGCUUCUAAAUUUCAUUCCCAUAGCUUCUAGAUUUCAUUCCCAUAGCUUCUAGUUAAUGUCUAAUUUUUUGUUGUAGUGCUUUUGACUUGUUGGAGUUUGAUCUGAACUUCAAUUAAUAUUUGAUCUUUUAUGCUUUAACAUUCCAUUUAAAUUUUAGUUGUCUUUUGUGUACAGAUUGUAGUUUUGUAAACUUUUCUUAAUUGUGGUUGCAUUUAGUAGUCUAUACGAAAAUUAGUUGAUCGUGUACUCCGAACACGAAUUGCUAGAGAGAGGAAUUAAAGAUUGUAUAGCAGUGUACUCCAAAUUUGUAUGGUUGAGUUUUCUAUUUUUUAUUUUUUUAUUUUGCUAGUUCAACCCUGUUGCAUGACAAAUUGUAAUCUUAGGUUUAAUUUCAAAAACUUAGACUGAGGAUGAGUGCUUACAAUGAAGAGUACCUCUUUCUUCUUGUGUUGUGUUUGAUUCUUGUUUUGCUUAUUUCACUUUUACUUUGUUGCAUGAUUGAUUACUUUCUUAAGAUUAAUUUCAUAAACUUAAAUCUAGUUAAGCACUAAGAUGGAAGAUUGCCUCUUUCUUAUUGGAUUCUUUGAAAGUCUAUGAUCUUGCAUAGAAUUUUUGUUGUAUUGUAUGGUAACUUUCGAUGAUAACUGUAGUUGUUCUAGUACAUUUCAGAUCAUGAAGAGUUUAAUUAAAGUUGCUAAAAUUUUGUGUUUCUGAUUAUAAUAUAGACUUUGUUUUCUUAAGUAACACUGUUAUUAUUGGAAGCAUCCUGACUUAUGAUGUGGUUGGUGGCUGUUAUUUUUUAACUUUGGUAUAUAAUUGUUGUAUAUUUAUGUUGAGAUGCAAAACUACCUCUUAUCUUUGGCCUUUCAUUAUAAUCUUUUUUUGUUAAGGUUUUGUUGCUUUAGUUUUAAUUUCUCUUUAGGUUUUUAAAGGACUUCUACUUUCGUAUCUUUGGGUUUUCGAAUUAAAACAUUUAUAAUGUCUGAUUUGUGAGCAAUGGAUGUGAUUAGGUUUAUUUUGCAGGCAAUCUUUGCCUUGAAUCUUUCUGCUUAAGCAAUGAAGUUCAAGUUUGAUUGUCUUUAUUUCUAAAAUAGCAUUGUUCUUUAUACAUGUGACAUGUUGCUUGUGUUUAACUUAAAUGCAGCAUUGUUCUUUAUAUAUGUGGUAUGUUGUUUAUGUUUAACUUAAAUGCAGAUCACCUUAUUAUUAAGCAUUGUUGAAUGAGACUUUGACUUCAUUAAAAAUGGAAGGUGUUAUGUGUAUGUAUACUAAUUAGAUAUCUAAUUAAGAUUCUUUUGUAUUUUAUCUUAAAAUUUAUUUUUAUUUAUCGUGUAAUUUAUGUAAUUAACAAAAUUAUAUUAUAUAAUAUUUAUUUUUUAUUUAAUACAAUUUCGAUUAUUUUUUUUAUUGCUUAUUAUUUUAUUCAAACACAACACAAGAAAAAAGAGGUACUCUUCAUUGUAAGCACUCAUCCUCAGUGCGAGGUUGGAUUAAGUUUUUGAAAUUAAACUUAAGAUUACAAUUUGUCAUGCAACAGAGUUGAACUAACAAAAUAAAAAAAUAGAAAACUCAACCAUACAAAUUUGGAGUACACUGCUAUACAAUUUUUAAUUCCUCUCUCUAGCAAAUCGUGUUCGAAGUACACGAUUAACUAAUUUUCGUAUAGACUACUAAAUGCAACCACAAUUAAGAAAAGUUUACAAAACUACAAUCUGUACACAAAAAAUAAAACUAAAAUUUAAAUGGAAUGUUAAAGCAUAAGAGAUCAAAUAUUAAUUGAAGUUCAAAUCAAACUCCGGCAAGUCAAAAGCACUACAACAAAAAAUUAGACAUUAUCCAGAAGCUAUAGGAAUGAAAUCUAGAAGCCAACUUGCAGAAUAAAACCAACAAACACAGACAUAAAAAUUUUGAAACUUUAAUUCCUUCUAUCCUACAAGGUAUGCUUGGAGCACAUAGCCCAUUAAGCUUCAAAGAGACAAACAGAUGAUAACUAGGCACACUCAUGAAUGAAAAAACCACAACCCAGGAAUUUUUUUUGCAGUAACAUUCUCCUAAUGCAUUAUCAAACAACUUCAUCAAAUUAGAUGCAACCACAAUAAAAAGUUUAACAUCAUCAAUAACUAAAAAAGCCAAGCCAGUGAAACCUAAGAACCUCAUCUGUCAUGCCAUAGAGAGAAAAACAAGAAGAAAACUCUCAUACACAGAGCCACACAUUUUUAAUCCUUAAAUCUUACACACAGUCAUACAAAUUUAGAAUUCAUAAUUCCCCUGCAAGUCAUUCUUGGACCACACAGCGCAUCAAGUUUCAAACAGACCAUCACAUCACAACCCAAGGAAAUUUUUCAAAGUAAAAUUACAAAACCCUAAUUUAUGUAAAAGUUUAAAAAUGACACAAGAAGAAUCCAAAGACAAUCUCAAUAAGAAAGACACCAACUGAGAGCCUAUAACAACAUAUAAUUAGAGUUUCAAAAAAUUCAGCAAAAGAAAAUAAUCUUCCUUUUAAGCAUUCAAUCACAAUGCAUGUCAAAAUUAAAUUACAUAAAUUGAACCUAACAAAUCAAUCUGCCCUGUAACAAAUAGAGUGAAACCAACAAAAUAAAACCCUCCCUAAACACAUACCUACACACACAAGAGGCACAAAAAUUAAAUUCACUGCUUGAAACACACAAAGAGAAAAACAACAGGGAAACUCCCAUACACAUAGCCACAUAAAUUUUUAAUCCUUAAAUGCUACACAACCAUAGAAAUUUAGAAUCCUUAAUUCUCCCUACACUACAAAACAAGGAAACUCCUAUACACAUAUUUAGAGUUCCAAAGAAUUCAGCAAAAGGAAAUAAUCUUCCUUUUAAGCAUUCAAUCACAAUGCAUAUCAAAAUUAAAUUACAUAAAUUGAACCUAACAAACCAAUCUGCUCUGUAACAAAUAGAGUGAAACCAACAAAAUAAAAUCUUCCCUAAACACAUACCUACACACACAAGAGGCACAGAAAUUAAAUUUACUGCUUGAAACACACAAGGAGAAAAACAGGAAAACUCCCAUACACAUAGUCACAUAAAUUUUUAAUCCUUAAAUGCUACACAACCAUAGAAAUUUAGAAUCAUUAAUUCCCCCUACACUACAAAACAAGGAAACUCCCAUACACAUAUUGAGAGUUCCAAAGAAUCCAACAAAAGAAAAUAAUCUUCCUUUUAAACAUUUUACCACAAUGCAUGUCAAAAUUAAAUUUCAAAAAUUGAACCCAACAAACAACCUGUUCUGUAACAGAGUGAAAUCAACAAAACAAAAAACUCUCAAAAUACACCUACACACACAUCAGGCACAGAAAUUGAAUUCAACUAAUCAUGCAACCCAUUAACUUAGAGCACACAACGAGAAAAACAAGAAAACUCCUAUACACAGUCACACAAAUUUUUAAUCCUUAAAUCCUAUACACAUACAACUUUAGAAUCCUUAAUUCUCCAUAUACUACAAGUCAUUCUUGGAGCACAUAGAGCACAUAGCGCAUAAGUUUCAUAGAGACUAAAGAAUCACAAACCACACUAAAAUACAACCCAAGGAAUUUUUCAAAGUAAAGUUACAAAGCCCUAAUUUAUGUAAGUUUAAAAAUGAAACAAGAAGAAUCAAGACACAAUCUCAAUGAGAAAGACACCAACUGAGAGCCUAUGACAACAUAUAUUUAGAGUUUCAAAGAAUCCAGCAAAAGAAAAUAAUCUUCCUUUUAAGCAUUCAACCACAAUGCAUGUCAAUUAAAUUACAGAAAUUGAACCUAGCAAACCAAUCUGCCUUGUAACAAAUAAAGUGAAACCAACAAAAUAAAAACCUCUCUAAACACAUACCUACACACACAAGAGGCACAGAAAUUGAAUUCGCUGCUUGAAGCACACAUGGAAAAAAACAACAAGAAAAAUCUUAUACACAGCCACAUAAAUUUUUAAUCUUUAAAUGCAACACAACCAUAAAAAUUUAGAAUCCCUAAUUCUCCUUACACUACAAAACAACAAGGAAACUCCCAUACACAUAUUUAGAGUUUCAAAGAAUCCAGCAAAAGAAAAUAAUCCUCCUUUUAAACAUUUUACCACAAUGCAUGUCAAAAUUAAGUUUCAAAAAUUGAACCCAACAAACCAACCUGUUCUGUAACAAACAGAGUGAAAUCAACAAAACAAAAAACUCUCAAAAUACACCUACACACAUCAGGCACAGAAAUUGAAUUCAGCUAAUCAUGCAAGCCAUUAGCUUAGAGCACACAAAGAGAAAAACAAGGAAACUCACAUACACAGCCACACAAAUUUUUAAUCCUUAAAUCCUACACACAUACAACUUUAGAAUCCUUAAUUUCCCUUACAAUGCAAGUCGUUCUUGGAGCACAUAGCGCAUACGUUUCAUAGAGACCAACGAAUCACAAACCACACUAAAGGAAGAACAACCCAAGAAAUUUUUCAAAGUAAAGUUACAAAGCCUUAAUUUAUGUAAAAAUUUAAAAAUGACACAAGAAGAAUCCAGAGACAAUCUCAAUGAGAAAGACACCGAGAGCCUAUGACAACAUAUAUUUAGAGUUUCAUAGAAUCCAACAAAAAGAAAUAUUCUUCCUUUCAAGCAUUCAACCACAAUGCAUGUCAAAAUUAAAUUACAGAAAUUGAACCUAGCAAACCAAUCUGCCCUGUAACAAAUAGAGUGAAACCAACAAAAUAAAAACCUCCCUAAACACAUACCUACACACACAAGAGGCACAGAAAUUGAAUUCAAUGCUUGAAGCACACAAGGAGAAAAACAACAGAAAAACUCUCAUACUCAGUCACAUAAAUUUUUAAUCUUUAAAUGCUACACAACCAUAAAAAUUUAGAAUCAUUAAUUUCCCCUACACUACAAAACAAGGAAACUCCCAUACACAUAUUGAGAGUUUCAAAGAAUCCAGCAAAAGGAAAUAAUCUUCCUUUUAAACAUUUGACCACGAUGCAUGUCAAAAUUAAGUUUCAGAAAUUUAACCCAACAAAUCAACCUGUUUUGUAACAAAUAGAGUGAAAUCAACAAAACAAAAAACUCUCAAAAUACACCUACACACAUCAGGCACAGAAAUUGAAUUCAGCUAAUCAUGCGAGCCAUUAGCUUAGAGCACACAAAGAGAAAAACAAGGAAACUCCCAUACACAACCACACAAAUUUUUAAUCCUUAAAUCCUACACACAUACAACUUUAGAAUCCUUAAUUCUCCCUACACUGCAAGUGGUUCUUGGAGCACAUAGCGCAUAAGUUUCACAGAGACCAACGAAUCAGGAACCACACUAAAGGAAGAAGAACCCAAGAAAUUUUUCAAAGUAAAGUUACAAAGCCCUAAUUUAUGUAAAAGUUUAAAAAUGAAACAAGAAGAAUCAAGACACAAUCUCAACGAGAAAGAUACCAACUGAGAGCCUAUGACAACAUAUAUUUAAAGUUUAAAAGAAUCCAACAAAAAAAAAUAAUCUUCCUUUUAAGCAUUCAAGCCCAAUGCAUGUCAAAAUUAAGUUUUAAAAAUUUAACCUAACAAACAGAGUGAAACCAACACAACAAAAAAUUCUCAAAAGACGCCUACACACACAAGAUGCCCAAAAAUUGAAUUGACCUUAUACUGCAAGCCAUUUGCUUAGAGCACACAGCCCAUACAGAUAAUAUUCUUUUUAAGAAGCAUUUUCUAUCCUCGUCAAAAUUAAGUUUCAGAAAUUAAAAGAAAGAAACUAUUCUAUCCUACAACAAAGAGAUUGUAACAAACAAAACAAGAAACUUACAAAAUAUACAUACACAAGAGGCACAGAAAUUGAAUUCCUCCUUAUCAUGCAAGCCAUUCGCUUAGAGCAGACAACUACUAAAUAAUAUCCACACUUAAAAAGCCACAACUAAGGGUUUUUCAAAAAGUUAAAUUUCAAAAACUAAACUAAUAUAGAUAAACGUGUCACAAGAAAAAUCAAAACAUGACAUAACAAAGCCUCAAUGAGAAAAAAACGAAAACUAUGAAUGGCCAAAGAUGAUAACUAACUCCAAUAACAAAAGAGGCAAGGAAUCUUCCUUUUAACACUCAACCUUUGGGUUUGGUGGAACUUAGUUUCAGAAAUUAAAUCUAAGAAAUUAGUCCAUCAAGCAAUAAAGUUGAACCAACAAAAAAUAACUAACUCCUAACAUGCAACAGUUAUACAAACUUGAAUCUCUAAUUCUUCCCAUCUUUGCAAGCUUGCAAGCACACAAUCCAUUGAGCUCCAUAGAGACUACCAAAUAACAAUCAUACUUACGAAACCACAAUCAAAAGAUUUUUUCAAAAGCAAAAUUACAAAACUCAACUCAUGUACACAAAAAAUGAAAAAAUGAAACAAGAAGAAUCUGAUAUAACAAAAUCUUAAUGAGAAAAGAUAUCGACAGAAAUGCUUAGGAAUAUUAUGUUUCCAUUUCAAAGAGCCAAAUGCAAUUGUCAUGGAACCAAAUAAUCUUAGUGGACCAAAACCGAACAAGAAAACAAAAUCUCAACAAGAAAAGACAUCUAUAGAGAUGCUUAGGGAUAUUAUUGUUUCCAUUCAACGUGUCAUAUAACAAUUACAUACUAGUUAAGUUAAACACAAUUGUCAUGCCAUAGGAUAAUUUUAGUGUUUCCCCCAAGUAUAACUAUAACAAUGCUAUUUGAGAAAUAAAAAUAGAAGAACUUGGGGGCCAUGCAACAACUACAAAAAAAGCAAGCCAAAACUGAUCAAAACCAAUGCAGCAAGUAAACAAAAUGAAGACAAGGACAGCUAGCAAAUAAAGUAAAAGUAAGGCAAUAAGAAAUGAAUAAAGCAACAGCUAACCACAUUCAUUACCAACUCAUUCCUUAUACUGUUAAAGACUAACCCUAACCUUAAGACAACAUUAACUUACUUUCUCAAUGAAUAAUCAUAACAUAACAUAAGAAAAACUCAAUGAGAACACACAUCUAAUGAAAGACGAAAAAAGACACAUAUUUAGAGUUUUAGAUAAUACAAUAUGAAAAGAGGUAAGCUUUCUUUUGAAGUGGCAUAUCAUUCAACAUAUGGUAUCGCAAAGCAGUCGCCUCUAUAAGUUCCUUUGGAACCAAAAAAAAAAAUCCAUUAAAAAAAUUACAUUUGUUCUGUGAAUAUCCCACUACUUUACAACCAAUGCCAUAAAUAAACAUGAUGAAAAUAUUGGUAUUUGUACUCACCUAGAUAACCUCUCUCCAUUUUAGUAUCAUUAAUGCAAAAAUUAAUAGAUUUCUAUGAGCAAAACAUUAAAUGAUAAUUGAUCUUCCUAAAAAAGUAGUUUCUCAAUGAUAAUUACAAAAAUCCUAUACCAUCAAAAAAAUCCAAAAUACUAACACCUAUUGAUUGGCAAAUGCUAAAAGAGAUUUUAAUCAAACAAGAAUAUUUACAAAUAAGGCUUAGGGCAAAUACUAAAGGCCAUCGUCUGCUUUAUUCUUCAAGGUAAGACAUAAUUAAGGUCUUUUUGAUUAAGUUGCAACAUCAAAUCUUUAUCUUAUAAUUGAAAAUUAACUACAAAGGCUCUUCUAGUGCACUGGUUUGGGACAUGAAUGGGUCAAGAUUUAAAAAUUUUAAGAGCUUAAUUUUUUAAUUUCCAAGAGGUGAGAUUGGACUUGAAUCAUGAAAAGCAACUAAUGAAUACUUUAACAUAACUUUUGCAUUUUUUUUUUAUCCUUUCUCCAAUUUUCUUCGGCAGGUUAAUAACUUUAGCUAUGACACAUAAGUAUGCACAUUUAAGAUUCUUCUGAAUCCAUCUUAUCAGUUGUAAUCAUCUACAUCAUUGGUUUAUACCCACUAGACAAAUUUCACGAUCGGCGGGUAAAUUAGGCCACAGGGUAUGCUUCACCGCGCAACUGAACUCUCAAUUAGAUUCAUAUAUUAACCAUUAAUGAUAAAAUUGUCAGUAUGACUAUAGUCGAAAGAAAUCAACUCACCACCCAAAGUAGAGUCCAUGACUUUAGAGUGGUUAUAUUGUCAGUAACCAGCUCAUAUCCUUGAGGGGCAUCAACUAUCUCUACAAUGGUCAUUGCACCAAGCAAGAAAAAACGAUUCAGCAGAUGCAUGUUUCAGCUCUGAAACGCUAAAUCAAUUGAAGGAGCCUACAAAUGUGAAUGGCCCAAGCAUUAUUACACAAGUAUUAACAGAUAAAGGCGGAAAUAAAUAAGAAAAUGAUAAAAAAAAAAGUUUUCCAUACAGAAGUCAGAUGCAUCAGCAUAAGUAGACCAUAGAAUUUCAUUAAUAAAGGGAGAUAGUCAUAGUGACCAUUUUCAGAAUUCCUAGUGAUGGUAACAAGCCACACACAAACACAAACUUUGGCUCUCCCACUUGACCAUGGGGGUAGGUACCUAGUUUUGCUAUCUUAAUUCAUUGCUAGGGUAGUUCCUUGGAAUUGAUUUAAAUUGGAGAUGCUCCUUCCUUUAAAUGGGAAGUGGUCUCCAACAUAAAUUAAAAAUAAAGGAUAUUAAAUUGCAAUGAUCACUUCAUAAAAAGACAAGCCAUUGCUCACCGAAAAACAUAGACCAAUAAAACUAGUAGAUCAGGAAAUAAGUUUAGAGCCCAAGCAUCCUGUAUUUCAUUAACUCUUGAAUGAAUACCGGGUCAUGAGGCCACCACCAAUGAACAUGAGAGAAACAGGUUGAAACCUGACAUAGUACUGAAUAAAGCAUCCAAUACGCAACAGAAUUUUGUGUUUUCAUCCCAAUUUAUGAGAAUGAUAAAUAUGAUGCAAACUACAAGAAGAGGAACAGCAGAAAAACACAGUCCAAUCCUAAACAUCUGAGAAUCAUUCUUACCCCUAUGCUCCUUACCACCCAUAAACUCACAGCCAUCAACAGUCUAUUCCACUUUUAUUGAAGGCUAGAAAUUCUUCAAAGAUAAUGCCUGCAUAUCCUAUUACAAAAAGCAAUGCCAUAGAAAUAUGCAUUAUGAAAUUAGAUCAAAUUAAGAAAGGCUUCUGUGGAUAAUACGAGAAUAUACAAAAUAUUGGCCAAAGAUGAAAAAAUGAUUACAACCUACAAAGAAAGGAUUGCACAAGAAAUUAAAGAUAAACCUGGAUGUUGGUAACCCAUGAUAGGUUAAUUGCCACAGUCCCUGUUAAAGCUGCUGUGAAAACACCAAUAGUUUUCAACAAAUUAGUCUUUGGCUGGUAAGUAACUUCGAAAUCUAACGAGCUAGCUUCAUCAACUCAACAUAAAGGAUCACAAGGUCCAGAGGUUGAGGUCAGCUCCUGUUGAUAUGCAAAGGUUAUUUCAGUGUGUGGAAGAACCCAAAAAUGAAGAAACACAGACACUGCCGUUUUGCUAUGAUGGUUGGUUUUUAUAGCAAUUUGGAGAAAGCUUUCUAAACAGCCUUUUGUAUAAUCUUCCCUCAUAAAGAGGAUCAUUACUCAGCCUCAAUCCUACCAAUGAAGGAUGAGAAACCAAGAAGAGUCAUUUGAAAAAUGUUCCUAGCCUUUAGGAUUCAGCAUUUUUUACACAAUGAGGCUACUUUCAGGACUUGAACUUGCUCAUUUGAGCCCCUCAACCAAAAUCUUUUAUAUUACACCAGACAGUAUCUCCUAAUCAACCCUCAUAUAUCUAACUAAAUCAAUCUGAUUUCUGAGCUAAACAUCUGCAGAAGGUAAUUUCCAAUAGCAACAGCUUGAAAUUCUAUCAAAUUAUUUGACAUCCUCAUUAACCAAGAUAAAAUCUUCAAAUGUAUGAACUAGCAGUACAGGCAAAUGGGUACCCUUAAACUGGAGUACUUAUAAGCAAGACAAUAGAUGACAAGAGACACAAAAUGAAAUCAAAAAACACUCACCCAAAUCAUAAAUCAAUGAAAAUGCAAAUGGGUACUCGUAAAGAUAAAAUUUUUCAUAAUGGCAUAAGCAUGAAAAGAACAAAAACCUCAAGCUGCUUUUCAUUGUUGGGUUGAACUUUUUGUUGCCGUGCAAUAACUUUCGUUAUAGGAUUUACCUAAACUCAUAAUUGUUGUUAUAUUAUUACAUUAUAAUAUAAAUCAAAUUAAGAAUUUUUUUUAUUGAAAGAAAAAAAGAACAAUACUAAUUUUUUUACUUGAGAUACUAUAACUAAUUGAAGGUAUGGAUCCAAUCUAUAACUAAAGUUAUAAAGGGGAUACACUCAUUCUUUUUGGUUUCUAACCUUUGGUGACAUGGCUAACCAGUAAGGCGGGGGAUUGCAAAUCCCUUAUUCCCCGUUUCAAAUCAGGUUGUUGCUUGAUCAACAAAAAACUUGGAACCCUAUAUUCUGCUUUGCUCAUAUGACUCAAAAAAUUUUCUCUAGCAAAAACAAGUGCAAGAAAAGGACUCUUGAUACUUUCUUGAUUAUAAACUUAGCAAGGUUUUGUCUUCAAAAAUGUUGUAAAUCCUUUCAUCUAGGAUUCAAGGAAAAGUUAGAGUAGGAGAGGGGAAUCAGAAAUCUUGAUAUGAUAUCCCCUCUCCUAUUAAUGGACGGGCUGCUAGAAGAGUCUUCAAUUAGAUUGGAUAUCAUAAUGGGAGUGUCUAAUUAUUAACAAAUGAAUAGUUGUACAAGGGUAAGUAAUGAACAACAGUUACCUUUAGGAAGUUUUUCAUGCUUUGAAAGCAAGGUUCAGACAACACAUCAUUGCAACAUAUGAUUAAUGCAACAUAUAUGUAUGCAAUAAUCCCCAUUCCCCAAAAGACAAAGGGAAAAAGAGGGAGGCAAAGAGGAAUCUAACCCAAAAGGAAGCAUCACAUGCAUGUGUUGAUCAACAAUAGGUGACAGAGGCUAAAAGCACCCAGACAAGUAGACAACAGAGCUUGCAUAGCAUUUUACAAGUACAGGCCACAACCAAACAGAAUAAGUCUAUUGCAAAUCAUUGAAAAGGCUGCAGAUCCUAACAAAAAUGUUCACCUAAUGGCUCCAGCUGCUACUUUGUGAAAAUAAGCAUGUGAAUGCAACCAAUCUUUAAAUUUUAGCUUUCCAACAUAUGCACGUGGUGCCAUUUUCCGCAAACAAUAAGAAUGGAAAUCAAAUUGAUCUUCAGUAAUAUCAGCAUAGUGCUUCUCCACAGCUAUAAAUUUCUCUAGGGCCCGUCCAAAAUCACCAUGUCGAAAGUAACUUUCAUCAGAAGCAAGUUCAUACCUUCAAAAGAUGGAUAACACUCAGUAGGUGUACCCAAAUUAUAAUUAGAGACAACAACAUGUGGAAGGUAAUAAACAAAAACAUACCACAUGCACUGCAUGUCAUGAAGGUUGUUGUGCUGGCCCCCAUCUUUCGUGAACAAAACAGCAGUUUUUCCUGCCAAAGCCACCUUCAAAAGUAGAAAAAGCUUGUGAACAGUACAAUAAUACCGAAAGAAAUUUAGUGACAAAUAUUAACUAUGACAAAAGAUGAAGUGGGGAAGCCUUAGAACCUGAUCAGACUGCAACAUUCGCUUCACAGAUUAACUGUUUACAUAGCGAUCUGCAAGAUCCAUACACCUAGCUUCAUCUGUCAAUGAAGCCACAGCUACCAAAUCACCAACAUGUUUCAGUAUCCGACUCUGUCACCAAAGAGAAGUAAAUAAUAUACACAUAGACCCAGCUUCAAGAAAAUUCCAAGAACUUCAACAAAAAGAUCAAGAAACAAUAGCCAGUCAAACUAAAAAACACCAGUCAAACUAAUACAAAAAAAAAAAAAAUCUCACCUGGAUAUAAAGGCUAGAAGAGGCUUAAUGCAAUCAAUUGCCGCUUUACGAAAUUUGUUUCCUUGCAGUAAAUCAAGUGGUAUCCUCUAAAAAUUGAGAAAACAAAGUUUUAAUAUAAGUCCUAGAACAUUCAUCACACAUCAUAAAGGAAGUAGCAUUUAUUGGCAAUAAUGAUGCACAUUGUAACAGCAAUAAUUACAAUUCUCAUGAAUGAAUACAUAACAAAUGUGGGUUACAGGAAGAAAACAAUUUAAAUACAUCCUCACUGCAUGAGUCAAAUUCCAAAAGCUCUAGAGUUUGACACUUUAUUUCAAUCAUGCCAUAACCUGGCCCAUCGUCAAAAGGUUUUUAUAUAGGAAAGUCAGUUUAACUAAAAGAAUGAGAUAAAGAUAGCCACUAAUAAAAGAAUUAGCCACCAUGUCAACUCUCUAGGGGUGAAGCAUAUGAAAGCAUAAUUUUAACCACCUAGAGUUCUUACUAUUGUCACAUCAAGACAUCAAUGAAGUAUUUCAGCAUAAUACCACAACUAUCUAUUUCUAGAUUAUUUAAGAAUAUCACAAGCCAUCGAAUGGACUGUGUCUAUUGUAGAACCACAUCACUAGAUUUUUGUCACAUAAUUUCUUAUCAAGCCAUCAAGAAAAACAAGAUCCCUACAAGAGUAUUUGUAAAAAUAGCCGCCCCUCCUCUCUCUAGAAAAGGGGAGAAAGCUUGAUAGCUCUACAAAAAAGUAAGGUUUUCGUUGGAUUUGCAUCAUGUGAUUCUAUAAAUAAGAGAGAGAAGAAAUCCAGAGUAAAUAUAAUGAACAGAACAUCCCAAGGUACCAUUUGGAGCUUAUUAAAAAAAAAUACCAAACAGAAAAUCAAAUUAAUAUGACUAACAGCUAAGACAUAAUAAAACAGCUUACACUAGCAAUAUCAUUAUCUACAGUCUAUAACGAGAACACAUUUUAUCAUCAGAAAAAAAUAGAAAAAAAUCAAAUCGGGCAUUAUUUGAAGUAAAAAAAUUUAAAUAAAAUUAAGAUGGUAGAAAUCAAACCUUCAUAAGGUCUCCAAAUUCCUCACACAUUCCAAUUUGUCCUCCACCAACUAAUUCUCUACUUAACAGCCUCAAGUUUCUUGGUCUGCUCCAAGGUAUAUAACAUUUCUGCAACUGCCACUAUAUGCAUCAAAGAUUCUGCAGAACCAAAAAGUGAAAUUUGCAUGAUUAUACAACCUACCUCAAGGAACCUAAAAUGCAUCAUGUUAUGUAAAGGUCGUAAUACCUUCAUGUUUACCAAGGAAAACUUUGUUCGCCUCACUAAGAGUUUUCUCCUGCAAUUGACUGCAGAAAGAGAAAAUAAAGGGAUUUAAUGCAUCAGGGAUCAAAAUAAUAAUAGUAACAGUAACACAACAAAAUUCUAGUAGGGGGAAUAGCUAUCAUAAAACCAUUUCAAAGAGAACCUGAUGGAUGGACGCUCAGCUUCUAAGACACUCCAAACAAGUUUUUCAGCAUCAGUUAAUGGAGCAGGCAUUGAGCCCAAUUUAUGGAAAAAUUUAAUCUGCAUUAGAUUAAAUUCAAAUAAGCAUUGUAAAGAUUACAUGAUCUUUGUAUCUAAGAACAGAAAAGAAUGCAGUUGUGCAUGGCAGUGCACAAAUAUGGUAGGGCAGAUGUUACAUGAAUCUGGAUUCUCAGCAUCCAGCCUUAGCAGUUGCUUUACAGCCUUCGCAGUUGCUUUACAGCCUUCAGGAAAACAAAAUAAAACCAAGACAAACGUACUAAUAUGAGCUCAUGAAAUAGUAAAAGUACUACUGCACAAAACCAUUGUUCUACAACUCAAAGAUAUGUCGUGCAAACUAUCUAAUUCACACAUAAAUUCAUUGAGUGAGUAGAGCAAUAAGAAAAGGAUGUUUGGUUAAACGGUACAGUUUCUUUAUUUCAAGAACAUAUCCACAGGCAGAAAGUGAAAAAAGAGAGGAGAAAACAAGAGAAGGGGCUUCCUCACAAAUCACUAGCUGACAAUUAAAUAUCAGUUCUAGUUGACCAAACACAAAAAGAACAAGAAACACAUCUCAUGUUCAAUUCUAGGAAAAUAUAAUACCUGAAAGGCAAGCAAAAUCUUCUGCUUUCUCAUAUUUACUUCAACAGAAAGUAAGUGCGUCUCCAAAGAAUCAGGUGAGUUCUUCUGAAGCAACUUCAAGUACUUCGUUGCUUCUGACAAGGGAUACUCUGUCUGAAAAAAAAAAUACAGAUUAAACAGUCUUAGCUUAAUAGGCAUUAGCGUAACACAUUUUUACAGCACGAGGACUUUAAUCAGGAAUCUAAAGCACAGGGAAAAGAUAAUAAUAGGUAACCUUCAAUAAUUUUUCUCCAAAAGGAUAAGGAUCUACAGGUUUAACAUGUCGUUUCCCACACUUAGAGAUGCCACUAGAACUUGAUUCUUCAUUUUUCUCCUCUGCCUCUUAAAAUAAUACACGGCAUCAGAAUGAAAUCAUCAAAGAGAGUGUUAGCCAAGAAUCACCAAAACAAGCUGAUAUACUUUCUUAGCUCGUUCCACCUUCCUCUGCUUCUUCAUUUUCUUUUUCUGAGAAGGAGUCUUUGAUGUGUCAUCCUCUUCUUCAGCCAGUGAGUUCAAAGGAGAAUCAAACAACUUUAGAUAGCAUUUGCACUUCAAAAUCCAAUAAUUAUCACAAUGCAGAAAGAAAAGGUUCAAAAUUGAAGUAAUCACCAGUUUCAAGCCAAGAGUUUCAGAGAAAGAAACACCAACAUAGAAAUGGGACAAUGGAUCAAUCACAAAAACUAUUACUUAAUUGUUGCAUGGCCUGUCACUAUAUCAUCCCAUUCCAUUUCACCAUCAAAUCAAUAAGAUCAAUAUAAAAAGCUAUAUAAUCAACAAAUAAAUUCUGGUACGGUAACAUGCAAUUCUCCAUCCUUAACCCAACAGAAAUCCCAGGUGCCGCCUUCCUAUCAUUUAAAAAGCCACAAUCUCAAAUUUCAAUAUGCCUGCAAGGAACAUUUAAUCCUUUCAGUAAUAACAUCACAAGAAUAUGAACUUACAAAAGAUAUAACGAAAGCAAAUUGAGACUACCAAGCAAAAUUUUUAUCCUGUUUGGCAUAUACCACAAGGUCUCGACAUAAUAUAAUAAGAAUCCCCUAAGUACAACGUAAAACACCAUCCUAAGUAUGAAACAAGUAUAAUAACCUUAUAAAAAUCAGAAACUAUAAUCUAGAAUACUUGUUAAAUUAAAUUUGACUUGAGCAUCAUUUUGAACACAAUUUUUUUAAGCAGAUCCCAAAUAUUUGCAUCUUCUUUUAAUAGUUAAUAAUUUGUGGAGGAGCAUUUGAACUUCAGACCUCCUACCAGGGCAAGAGGAGUUAUUGCAACUAAGGUAUGUGUAAAGCCACAAAAAAAAAAAAAAAACUGCUUUAUAAUAUAACAUAAUUGGGCUUAUUAAUAGCAUUUGUUUCUGUAUGGUAAGGAUAGACAUGUAUCCACAGUUGAAAAUUCGUUAAUGGUACAUUUUCCUAUAUAUAUGUAUUGGUCCAUCAGGUAAUAAUAAAACAAAGAGACGGGGCACAAAGGAUUGUCUUACAUAGCAUUCUGAUACAUAAUUACUAAUUUAAUCACAUACAUAUCAAUUAGAUCAACAAAUGAAUCAACAACAGCCCUCUUAUCUUGAACUCUAAAACUCUCUUUUGGUAUUCCUAUACAAAUGAAAUUGCAAAAACAGAUUGAUCUACAUUAUUUGAAAAAAUCUAUAAAGUUCAUAACGAACUUAAAAUCAUUGUGCAUAAUCAAAAUGACUAGUAUUGUAGACACCGAUUUUGCCGGGCUCUACUGUUUUAAUAAUUAAUAAUAAUAUUUUUAAUAAAAAAAUUAAUUAAUGAACAAACAAAAAAAAAAACAAACAAAAAGAAACAGAAUAAGACAAGAAAUCAGGGAGUUGGUAUGGCGGCCGCUGUCGCUAGCCUCCCGACCAAACCUACCCCGACCAGCCACCCUACAGCCACCAACCCAACUAUAAGGAAUUUAAAAAUGAAAAUAAGAAAUAACAAGAAAUUUGUAAAAAAAUUAGGAAAAGAAUAAAAAAUGAAAAGAUUUAUGAAAAAAAAAUCGAAGUAUAAAAAAAAAUGGAAACAAGAAAUAAAAAGAAUUUUGUGAAAAUAAAAAUAAAAUAAGAAAAAAAUAUUAAAGCAAAACAAAAAAGAUAAAUAAAAUACAAAAAAAUAUAAAAUAUAAAAUAAACAAAAAUGCGAUAAAAAAUAUAAGAAGUAAGAAAAUCAAAAAUAAAAAAAGAGAAAAAUGAAAUGAAAUGAAAAAAUACAAAAAAAAAACAAAAAAUUGAAAAACAUACAAAAAUAAUAAGAAAACAAUAUAAAAAAUCAAAGACAAAAAAUUAAAAAUGAGAAAAGUUAAUGCAAAAUAAAAAUGAAAACAAAAGAAGAAAAUGCAACAAAAAAAAAACUAUAAGAAUUUAAAAAUGAAAAUAAGAAAUAAAAAGAAAUUUGUAAAAGAAUUAGGAAAAGAAUAAAAAUGAAAAGAUUUAUGAAAAAAAAGCCAAGUAUAAAAAAAAUGGAAACAAGAAAUAAAAAGAAUUUUGUGAAAAAAAUUAGAAAAACAAGAAAAAAUGAAAAAUUGAAGAGGCAAAAAUAUGAAAUUAAAUAAAAAGAUGAAAAAGUUUUCUAGAAAUUUUUAAAACAAAGAAAAAUGUGAAAGCAAAAAAAAAUAUGAAGCACAUGAAAAGAUAAGUAAAAAAUGAAAAGGAAAAAGAGUUAAUGAAAAAUUAUAAAAAUAAACAAAAAAUAACCAACAACGAUAAAUAAAAAAAGAAAACAUGAAAAAGUUAUGAAAACAUGAAUAAAAAUUAUGAAAAUAAAAAUAAAAUAAGAAAAAAUAAUUAAAGCAAAACAAAAAAGAAUAAAUACAAAAAAAAUAUAUAAUAUAAAAUAAAUAAAAAUGCGAUAAAAAAUAUAAGAAGUAAGAAAAUCAAAAAUAAAAAAAAGAAGAAAAAUGAAAUGAAAUGAAAACAUACAAAAAAUAAAAAACCUAAAAAAUUGAAAAAACAAUAUAAAAUAAUAAAAACAAAUUAAAAAGAAUCAAUGCCAAAAAUAAAAAUGAAACAAAAGAAGAAAAUGCAACAACAAAAACUAUAAGAAUUUAAAAUGAAAAUAAGAUAUAAAAAGAAAUUUGUAAAAGAAUUAGGAAAGAACAAAAUGAAAAGAUUUAUGAAAAAAAAAUCCAAGUAUAAAAAAAAUGAAACAAGAAAUAAAAAGAAUUUUGUGAAAAAAAAUUAGAAAAACAAGAAAAAAUAAAAAUGAAGAGACAAAAAUAUGAAAUUAAAUAAAAGAUGAAAAGAUAAGUAAAAAAUGAAAGGGAAAAAGUUAAUGAAAAAUUAUAAAAAUAAAACAAAAAAUAACCAACAACGAUAAAUAAAAAAAAUAAAAAAAUAAAAAAAUAAAAAACAUGAUAAAAAUUUAUGAAAAUAAAAAUAAAAUAAGAAAAAAAUAUUAAAGCAAAACAAAAAAGAUAAAUAAAAUACAAAAAAUAUAUAUAAUAUAAAAUAAACAAAAAUGCGAAUAAAAAAUAUAAGAAGUAAGAAAAUCAAAAAUAAAAAAAAAAAACAGAAAUGAAAUGAAAUGAAAAAAUACAAAAAAAAACAAAAAAUUGAAAAACAUACAAAAAAUAAUAUAAAAAAUCAAAGACAAAAUUAAAAAUGAGAAAAGUUAAUGCAAAUAAAAAAUGAAAACAAAAGAAGAAAAUGCAACAACAAAAAACUAUAAGAAUUUAAAAAUUAAAAUAAGAAAUAAAAGAAAUUUGUAAAAGAAUUAGGAAAAGAAUAAAAAUGAAAAGAUUUAUGAAAAAAAAAUCCAAGUAUAAAAAAAAAUGGAAACAAGAAAUAAAAAAAAUUUUGUGAAAAAAAUUAGAAAACAAGAAAAAAUAAAAAAUGAAGAGACAAAAAUAUGAAAUUAAAUAAAAGAUGAAAAAGUUUUCUAAAAAUUUUUAAAACAAAGAAAAAUGUGAAAACAAAAAAAAAUAUGAAAGCACAUGAAAAGAUAAGUAAAAAAAUGAAAAGGGAAAAAGAGUUAAUGAAAAAUUAUAAAAAUAAAACAAAAAUAAACAACAACGAUAAAUAAAAAAAGAAAAGAAAAAAAUAAAAAAAUAAAAAAAUAAAAACAUGAUAAAAAUUUAUGAAAUAAAAAUAAAAUAAGAAAAAAAUAUUAAAGCAAAACAAAAAGAUAAAUAAAUACAAAAAAAUAUAAAAUAUUAAAAUAAACAAAAAUGCGAUAAAAAUAUAAGAAGUAAGAAAUCAAAAAUAAAAAAAAGACAAAAUGAAAUGAAAUGAAAAAAUACAAAAAAAAUACAAAAAUUGAAAAAAUACAAAAAUAAUAAAAAAACAAUAUAAAAAUCAAAGACAAAAUUAAAAAUGAGAAAAAGUUAAUACAAAUUAAAAAUUGAAACAAAAGAAGAAAAUGCAACAACAAAAACUAUAAGAAUUUAAAAAUGAAAUAAGAAAUAAAAGAAAUUUGUUAAAAGAAUUAAGAGAAGAAUAAAAUGAAAAGAAUUUAUGAAAAAAAAUCCAAAGAAGUAUAAAAAAAAUGGAAACAAGAAAUAAAAAGAAUUUUGUGAAAAAAUUAAAAAAACAAGAAAAAUAAAAAAUGAAGAGGCAAAAUAUGAAACAAAAUAUAAAAGAAAAAAGUUUAUGAGAUAUUUUUAAAACAAAGAAAAAUGUGGAACCAAAAAAAAUACUGAAAGCACAUGAAAAGAUAAGUAAAAUGAAAAAUUUUAAUAAUGGAAAAAAAGAAGAAAGAAAAGCAAGUUAAUGAAAAAUAUAAAAUAAAAGAAAAAAUAACCAACAACGAUAAAUAAAAAAAGAUAGAAAAAUAAAAAAAACAUGAUAAAAUUAUUAAAAUCAUAAAUAGAAAAAAGAAAAAAACAAAAUAAAUAAAGAAAAAAUAAUUAAAGCAAAACAAAAGAUAAAAAAUACAAAAAAAUAUAAUAUAAAUAAACAAAAUACGAUAAAAUAUAAGAAGUAAGAAAAUCAAAAUAAAAAAUAAAAAAAGAAAGAAGUGAAAUGAAAUGAGAAAAUAUAAAAAAAAUACAAAAAUUGAAAAACAUAUAAAAAUAUAAGAAAACAAUAUAAAAUCAAAGCAAAAAUUAAAAAUGAAAACAAAGAAGAAAAUGCAACAAAAAAAAACUAUAAGAAUUUAAAAAUGAAAACAAGAAAUAAAAAGAAAUUUGUAAAAGAAUUAAGAAAAGAAUAAAAAUGAAAGACAAAUUUAUGAAAAAAAAUCCUAGGAAGUAUAAAAAUAAUGGAAACAAGAAAUAAAAAGAAUUUUGUGAAAAAAAUUAGAAACACAAGAAAAAUAAAAAAUGAAAAGGCAAAAAUAUGAAACAAAAUAAAAGAUAAAAUAGUUUUUAUAGAAAUUUUUAAAACAAAGAAAAAUGUGAAAACAAAAAAAAUAUGAAAACACAUGAAGAUAAGUAAAAAAGUGAAAAAUUUAAAAGAAAAAGGAAAAAUGUUAAUGAAAAAUUACAAAAAUAACAAAUAACAACGAUAAAUAAAAAAAGAUAGAAAAAUAAAAAAAUAAAAACAUGAUAAAAAUUUAUGAAAAUAUAAAUAAAGAAAGAGAUAAAAAAUAAAAAUAAAUAAGAAAGAAAUAUUAAAGCAAAACAAAAAAGAUAAAUAAAAUACAAAAAAUAUAAAAUAUAAACAACAAAAAAUGCGAUAAAAAAUAUAAGAAGUAAGAAAAUCAAAAAUUAAAAAUUAAAAAAGACAAAUGAAAUGAAAUUGAAAAAAUAGAAAAAAAAUAAAAAAAAUUGAAAAACAUAUAAAACAUAAUAAGAAAACAAUAUAAAAAAUCUAAGCCAAAAAAACUAAAAAUGAAAACAAAAGAAGAAAAUGCAACAAAAAAAACUAUUAUUUAUUUAAAAAUGAAAAUAUGAAUAAAAAGAAAUUUGUAAAAGAAUUAAGAAAAGGAAUAAAAAUGAAAAGACAGAUUUAUGAAAAAAAAAAUCCUAGGAAGUAUAAAAAAAAAUAGAAACAAGAAAUAAAAAGAAUUUUGUGAAAAAUUAUUAAAAAAACAAGAAAAAAAUAAAAAAGCAAAAAAGCAAAAAUAUAUGAAACAAGAAAAAAUAAAAAAUGAAUAGACAAAAAUAUGAAACACAAAUAAAAGAUAAAAAAGUUUUGUAGAAAUUUUUAAAACAAAAGAAAAAAUGUGAAAACAAAAAAAAAUAUAUGAAAGCACAUUAAAGAUAAGUAAAAAAAUAAAAAAUUUUAAAAGAAAAAAAGAAAAAAGUUAAUGAAAAAUUAUAAAAAUAAAAUUGAAAAACCAACAACGAUAAAAAAAAUAAAAAAAAAGAAAAAGAUAGAAAAAUAAAUAAAUAAAAAACAUGUUAAAAAUUUAUGAAAAUAUAAAUAAAGAAAGAAAUAAAAAAUAAACCAAAUAAAAAAAAAAUAAAAAAAAAAUAUUAAAGCAAAGCCAAAAAAGAUAGAUAAAAUACAAUAAAAUAUAAAUAUAAAAUAAACAAAAAUGCAAUAAAAAUAUAAGAAGUAAGAAAAUCAAAAAUAAAAAAUAAAAUGAAAUGAAAUGAGAAAAUACAAAAAAAUACAAAAAAAAUGAAAAACAUAAAUAAUAAGAAACAAUAUAAAAAUCAAAGACAAAAAUUAAAAAUGAGAAAAGUUAAUGCAAAAUAAAAAUUAAAACAAAAGAAGAAAUGAAAUAAAAAAACUAUAAGAAUUUAAAAUGAAUAUAAGAAUAAAAAGAAAUUUGUUAGAUAAAAAGAAAAGAAUAAAAUGAAAAGACAAGAUUUAUGAGAAAAAAAAUCCAAAGAAGUAUAAAAAAAUGAAAACAAGAAAUAAAAAGAAUUUUGUGAAAAAAUUAGAAAAACAAGAAAAAUAAAAAAUGAAAAGGCAAAAUAUGAAAUAAAAUAAAAAGAUAAACAGUUUUGUAGAAAUUUUUAAAACAAAGAAAAAUGUGAAAACAAAAAAAAUAUAAACACAUGAAAAGAUAAGUAAAAAAUGAAAAAUUUAAAAGGGAAAAAGGAAAAAGAGUUAAUGAAAAAUUAUAAAAAUAAAACGAAAAAUAAACCAACAAUGAUAAAUAAAAAAAAAUAGAAAGAUAAAAAAAAUAAAAAACAUGAUAAAAAUUAUGAAAAUAUAAAUAAAGAAAGAAAUAACAAUAAAAAUAAAAUAAAAUAAGAAAAAAAUAUUAAAGCAAAACAAAAAAAUAAAUAAAGACAAAAAUAUAAAAUAUAAAUAAAGAAAAUGCGAUAAAAAUAUAAGAAAAUCAAAAAUACAAAAAUACAAAAUGAAAUGAAAUGAAAAAAUAAAAAAAUACAAAAAUUAAAAAACAUAUAAAAAAAUAAUAUAAAAAAUCAAAGACAAAAAAAUAAAUAAGAGAAAAGUUAAUGCCAAAUAAAAAUGAAACAAAAGAAGAAAAUGCAACAAAAAAAAAUUAUAAGAAUUUAAAAAUGAAAAUAAGAAAUAAAAAAAAUUUGUAAAAAGAUUAAGAAAGGAAUAAAAAUAAAAAGAAAAGAUUUAUGAAAAAUAAAAAAUUCAAGAAAGUGUAAAAAAAAAUGGAAACAAGAAAUAAAAAAACUGUCAAAAAAUUAGAAAAACAAGAAAAAAUAAAAAAUGAAGAGGCAAAAAAUAUGAAAUAAAAUAAAAAGAAAGUUUUGUAAAAAUUUUAAAACAAAGAAAAAAGUGAAAACAAAAAAAAUGAAAGCACAAAAAAAUAAGUAAAAAAAAAUUUUAAAAGAAAAAAGUUAAUGAAAAACAAAAAAGAUAAAACAAAAUACAAUAAAAAUAUAAAAAUCAAAAAAUCAAAAAUAAAAAAAUAUAUAUUAAAUAAAUAAUUAUAUUAUCUCUUAAUAAAAGAUAAAUAUUAUACAAUCCAAAAUAAUAAAUAAAAUAAUAAGCAAUAAAAAAAUAAUCGAAAUUGUAUUAAAUAAAAAAUAAUAUUAUCUAAUAUAAUUUUUGUUAAUUACAUAAAUUACACGAUAAAUAAAAAUAAAUUUCCAAGAUAAAAUACAAAAGAAUCUUAAUUAGAUAUCUAAUUAGUAUACAUACACAUAAACACCUUCAUUUUUAAUGAAGUCAAAGUCUCAUUCAACAAUGCUUAAUAAUAAGGUGAUCUGCAUUUUAAGUUAAACAUAAACAACAUGCCACAUAUAUAUAAAGAACAAUGCUGCAUUUAAGUUAAACACAAGCAACAUGGCACAUGUAUAAAGAACAAUGCUAUUUUAGAAAUAAAGACAAUUAAAACUUGAACUUCAUGCUCAAGCAAGGCAAAGAUUGCCUGCAAAAUAAACCUAAUAACAUCCAUUGCUCACAAAUCAGAUAUUAUAAAUGUUUUAACUCGGAAACCCAAAGAUACGAAAGUAAAAGGGCCUUUAAAAACCUAAAGAGAAAUUAAAACUAAAGCAACAAACCUUAACAAAAAAAGAUUAUAAUGAAAGGCCAAAGAUAAGAGUAGUUUUGCAUCUCAACAUAAAUAUACAACAAUUAUAUACCAAAGUUAAAAAACAACAGCCACCAACACAUCAUAAGUCAGGAUGCUUCCAAUAUAAACAGUAUUACUUAAGAAAACAAAGUCUAUAUUAUAAUCAGAAACACAGAAUUUUAGCAACUUUAAUCAAACUUUCAUGAUCUGAAAUGUACUAAACAAGUACAAUUAUCAUCGAAAUUACCAUACAAUACAACAAAAAUUCUAUGCAAGAUCAUAGACUUUCAAAGAAUCCAAUAAGAAAGAGGCAAUCUUCCAUCUCAGUGCUUAACUAGAUUUAAGUUUAUGAAAUUAAUCUUAAAAAAGUAAUCAAUCAUGCAACAAAGUAAAGUGAAAUCAGCAAAACAAGAAGAAUCAAACACAACACAAAAAAAAAAGAGGUACUCUUCAUUGUAAGCACUCAUCUUCAGUGCGAGGUUGGAUUAAGUUUUUGAAAUUAAACCUAAGAUUACAAUUUGUCAUGCAACAGAGUUGAACUAGCAAAAUAAAAAAAUAAAAAAUAGAAAACUCAACCAUACAAAUUUGGAGUACACUGCUGAUACAAUCUCUAAUUCCUCUCUCUAGCAAAUCGUGUUCGAAGUACACGAUCAACUAAUUCCGUAUAGACUACUAAAUGCAAUCACAAUUAAGAAAAGUUUACAAAACUACAAUCUGUACACAAAAGAUGAAAACUAAAAUUUAAUGAAUGUUAAAGAUAAGAGAUCAACAUAUAAUUGAUAGUUCAAAUCAAACUCCGGCAAAUCACAAGCCUACAACCAAAAAAUUAGAAUUAACCAGAAGCUAUGGGAAUGAAAAUCUAAAAGCCAACUUGCAAAAUAAACCCAACAAAACACACAGGAAUAAAACCAACCAAACACACCAGGACAUCAGAAAUUUGAAACUUUAAUUCCUCUAUCCUGCAAGGUAUGCUUAGAGCACAAUAGCCCAUUAAGCGUUCAAAGAACAAACAAAUGACAACUAGGGCACAUCAAUGGAUGAAGAACCAACAACCCAGGAAUUUCUUGACAGUAACAUUCUCCUAAUGCAUUCGUCAAACAACUUCAUCAACGAUUAGAGGCAACCACAAUAAAAAGUUUGACAAUCAUCACAUAACUAAAAAAAGCCAAGCCAGUGAAACCACAUAAAAAGUUUUUUCUCUCUGUCAUGCCACAGAGAGAAAAACAAGAAGGAAAACUCCCAUACACACAGAGCCACACAUUUUAAUCCUUAAAUCCUACACACAACCAUACAAAUUUAGAAUCCAUAAUUCCCCUGCAAGUCAUUCUUGGACGACACAACGCAUCAAGUUUCAAACAGACCAUCACAUCACAACCCAAGGGAAUUUUUCAAAGUAAAGUUACAAAGCCCUAAUUUAUGUAAAAGUUUAAAAAUGAAACAAGAAGAAUCAAGACACAAUCUCAAUGAGAAAGACAUCAAACUGAGAGCCUAUGACAACAUAUAUUUAGAAUUUCAAAGAAUCCAGCAAAAAGAAAUAAUCUUCCUUUUAAGCAUUCAACCACAAUGCAUGUCAAAAUUAAAUUACAGAAAUUGAACCUAGCAAACCAAUCUGCCUUGUAACAAAUAGAGUGAAACAACAAAAUAAAAACCUCCCUAAACACGUACCUACACACACAAGAGGCACAGAAAUUGAAUUCGCUGCUUGAAGCACACAUGGAGAAAACAAACUCCCAUACACAGCCACAUAAAUUUUUAAUUCUUAAAUGCAACACCAUAGAAAUUUAAUGCCUUAAUUCUCCCUACACUACAAAACACAGAAUUCAAUACACUAUUUAGACUUUCAAAGAUCCAUCAAAGGAAAGAUCCUCUUGUAAACAUUUCCAUCAAUGCAUGUCAAAAUUAAGUUUACAAAAAUGUAACUAAUUCAACACCUGUUCUUAACAACAUCAUGCUUCAUUAAUUCUUAAUAAUACCGUCAUGACUAACCACCAAUGACAUGAAGAACAUUGAACUGACACAGUAAUAAACCAUCCAAUACGCAACAGAAUUUUGUGUUUUCAUCCCAAUGCUUAUAGAAUAUAAAUAGAUGCAAACUACAAGAAGAGGGGACAGCAGAAAAACACAGUCCAAUCCCUAAACAUUGAGAAUCAUUCUUACCCCUAUGCUCCUUACCACCAUAAACUCACAGCCAUCAACAAUCUAUUCCACUUUUAUUGAGGCUAGAAUUCUUCAAAGAUAAUGCCUGCAUAUCCUAUUACAAAAAGCAAUGCCAUAGAAAUAUGCAUUAUGAAAUUAGAUCAAAUUAAGAAAGGCUUCUGUGGAUAAUACAAGAAUAUACAAAAUAUUGGCCAAAGAUGAAAAAAUGAUUACAACCUACAAAGAAAGGAUUGCACAAGAAAUUAAAGAUAAACCUGGAUGUUGGUAACCCAUGAUAGGUUAAUUGCCACAGUCCCUGUUAAAGCUGCUGUGAAAACACCAAUAGUUUUCAACAAAUUAGUCUUUGGCUGGUAAGUAACUUCGAAAUCUAACGAGCUAGCUUCAUCAACUCAACAUAAAGGAUCACAAGGUCCAGAGGUUGAGGUCAGCUCCUGUUGAUAUGCAAAGGUUAUUUCAGUGUGUGGAAGAACCCAAAAAUGAAGAAACACAGACACUGCCGUUUUGCUAUGAUGGUUGGUUUUUAUAGCAAUUUGGAGAAAGCUUUCUAAACAGCCUUUUGUAUAAUCUUCCCUCAUAAAGAGGAUCAUUACUCAGCCUCAAUCCUGCCAAUGAAGGAUGAGAAACCAAGAAGAGUCAUUUGAAAAAUGUUCCUAGCCUUUAGGAUUCAGCAUUUUUUACACAAUGAGGCUACUUUCAGGACUUGAACUUGCUCAUUUGAGCCCCUCAGCCAAAAUCUUUUAUAUUACACCAGACAGUGUCUCCUAAUCAACCCUCAUAUAUCUAACUAAAUCAAUCUGAUUUCUGAGCUAAACAUCUGCAGAAGGUAAUUUCCAAUAGCAACAGCUUGAAAUUCUAUCAAAUUAUUUGACCUCCUCAUUAACCAAGAUAAAAUCUUCAAAUGUAUGAACUAGCAGUACAGGCAAAUGGGUACCCUUAAACUGGAAGUACUUAUAAGCAAGACAAUAGAUGACAAGAGACACAAAAUGAAAUCAAAAAACACUCACCCAAAUCAUAAAUCAAUGAAAAUGCAAAUGGGUACUCGUAAAGAUAAAAUUUUUCAUAAUGGCAUAGGGAUGAAAAGAACAAAAACCUCAAGCUGCUUUUCAUUGUUGGGUUGAACUUUUUGUUGCCGUGCAAUAACUUUCGUUACGGGGUUUACCUAGACUCAUAAUUGUUGUUAUAUUAUUACAUUAUAAUAUAAAUCAAAUUAAGAAUUUUUUUUAUUGAAAGAAAAAAAGAACAAUACUAAUUUUUUUACUUGAGAUACUAUAACUAAUUCAAGGUAUGGAUCCAAUCUAUAACUAAAGUUAUAAAGGGGAUACACUCAUUCUUUUUGGUUUCUAACCUUUGGUGACAUGGCUAACCAGUAAGGCGGGGAUUGCAAAUCCCUUAUUCCCCGGUUCAAAUCAAGUUGUUGCUUGAUCAACAAAAAACUUGGAACCCUAUAUUCUGCUUUGCUCAUAUGACUCAAAAAUUUUUCUCUACCAAAAACAAGUGCAAGAAAAGGACUCUUGAUACUUUCUUGACUAUAAACUUAGCAAGGUUUUGUCUUCAAAAAUGUUGUAAAUCCUUACGUCUAGGAUUCAAGGAAAAGUUAGAGUAGGAGAGGGGAAUCAGAAAUCUUGAUAUGAUAUCCCCUCUCCUAUUAAUGGAAGGGCUGCUAAAAGAGUCUUCAAUUAGAUUGGAUAUCAUAAUGGGAGUGUCUAAUUAUUAACAAAUGAAUAGUUGUACAAGGGUAAGUAAUGAACAACAGUUACCUUUAGGAAGUCUUUCAUGCUUUGAAAGCAAGGUUCAGACAACACAUCAUUGCAACAUAUAUGUAUGCAAUAAUCCCACAUUCCCCAAAAGACAAAGGGAAAAGGAGGGAGGCAAAGAGGAAUCUAACCCAAAAGGAAGCAUCACAUGCAUGUGUUCAUCAACAAUAGGUGACAGACGCUAAAAGCACCCAGACAAGUAGACAACAGAGCUUGCAUAGCAUUUUACACGUACAGCCCACAACCAAACAGAAUAAGUCUAUUGCAAAUCAUUGAAAAGGCUGCAGAUCCUAACAAAAAUGUUCACCUAAUGGCUCCAGCUGCUACUUUGUGAAAAUAAGCAUGUGAAUGCAACCAAUCUUUAAAUUUUAGCUUUCCAACAUAUGCACGUGGUGCCAUUUUCCGCAAACAAUAAGAAUGGAAAUCAAAUUGAUCUUCAGUAAUAUCAGCAUAGUGCUUCUCCACAGCUAUAAAUUUCUCCAGGGCCCGUCCAAAAUCACCAUGUCGAAAGUAACUUUCAUCAGAAGCAAGUUCAUACCUUCAAAAGAUGGAUAACACUCAGUAGGUGUACCCAAAUUAUAAUUAGAGACAACAACAUGUGGAAGGUAAUAAACAAAAACAGACCACAUGCACUGCAUGUCAUGAAGGUUGUUGUGCUGGCCCCCAUCUUUCGUGAACAAAACAGCAGUUUUUCCUGCCAAAGCCACCUUCAAAAGUAGAAAAAGCUUGUGAACAGUACAAUAAUACCGAAAGAAAUUUAGUGACAAAUAUUAACUAUGACAAAAGAUGAAGUGGGGAAGCCUUAGAACCUGAUCAGACUGCAACAUUCGCUUCACAGAUUAACUGUUUACAUAGCGAUCUGCAAGAUCCAUACACCUAGCUUCAUCUGUCAAUGAAGCCACAGCUACCAAAUCACCAACAUGUUUCAGUAUCCGACUCUGUCACCAAAGAGAAGUAAAUAAUAUACACAUAGACCCAGCUUCAAGAAAAUUCCAAGAACUUCUCCAAAAGAUCAAGAAACAAUAGCCAGUCAAACUAAAAAACACCAGUCAAACUAAUACAAAAAAAAAAAAAAAUCUCACCUGGAUAUAAAGGCUAGAAGAGGCUUAAUGCAAUCAAUUGCCGCUUUACGAAAUUUGUUUCCUUGCAGUAAAUCAAGUGGUAUCCUCUAAAAAUUGAGAAAACAAAGUUUUAAUAUAAGUCCUAGAACAUUCAUCACACAUCAUAAAGGAAGUAGCAUUUAUUGGCAAUAAUGAUGCACAUUGUAACAGCAAUAAUUACAAUUCUCAUGAAUGAAUACAUAACAAAUGUGGGUUACAGGAAGAAAACAAUUUAAAUACAUCCUCACUGCAUGAGUCAAAUUCCAAAAGCUCUAGAGUUUGACACUUUAUUUCAAUCAUGCCAUAACCUGGCCCAUCGUCAAAAGGUUUUUAUAUAGGAAAGUCAGUUUAACUAAAAGAAUGAGAUAAAGAUAGCCACUAAUAAAAGAAUUAGCCACCAUGUCAACUCUCUAGGGGUGAAGCAUAUGAAAGCAUAAUUUUAACCACCUAGAGUUCUUACUAUUGUCACAUCAAGACAUCAAUGAAGUAUUUCAGCAUAAUACCACAACUAUCUAUUUCUAGAUUAUUUAAGAAUAUCACAAGCCAUCGAAUGGACUGUGUCUAUUGUAGAACCACAUCACUAGAUUUUUGUCACAUAAUUUCUUAUCAAGCCAUCAAGAAAAACAAGAUCCCUACAAGAGUAUUUGUAAAAAUAGCCGCCCCUCCUCUCUCUAGAAAAGGGGAGAAAGCUUGAUAGCUCUACAAAAAAAGUAAGGUUUUCGUUGGAUUUGCAUCAUGUGAUUCUAUAAAUAAGAGAGAGAAGAAAUCCAGAGUAAAUAUAAUGAACAGAACAUCCCAAGGUACCAUUUGGAGCUUAUUAAAAAAAAAUACCAAACAGAAAAUCAAAUUAAUAUGACUAACAGCUAAGACAUAAUAAAACAGCUUACACUAGCAAUAUCAUUAUCUACAGUCUAUAACGAGAACACAUUUUAUCAUCAGAAAAAAAUAGAAAAAAAUCAAAUCGGGCAUUAUUUGAAGUAAAAAAUUUAAAUAAAAUUAAGAUGGUAGAAAUCAAACCUUCAUAAGGUCUCCAAAUUCCUCACACAUUCCAAUUUGUCCUCCACCAACUAAUUCUCUACUUAACAGCCUCAAGUUUCUUGGUCUGCUCCAAGGUAUAUAACAUUUCUGCAACUGCCACUAUAUGCAUCAAAGAUUCUGCAGAACCAAAAAGUGAAAUUUGCAUGAUUAUACAACCUACCUCAAGGAACCUAAAAUGCAUCAUGUUAUGUAAAGGUCGUAAUACCUUCAUGUUUACCAAGGAAAACUUUGUUCGCCUCACUAAGAGUUUUCUCCUGCAAUUGACUGCAGAAAGAGAAAAUAAAGGGAUUUAAUGCAUCAGGGAUCAAAAUAAUAAUAGUAACAGUAACACAACAAAAUUCUAGUAGGGGAAUAGCUAUCAUAAAACCAUUUCAAAGAGAACCUGAUGGAUGGACGCUCAGCUUCUAAGACACUCCAAACAAGUUUUUCAGCAUCAGUUAAUGGAGCAGGCAUUGAGCCCAAUUUAUGGAAAAAUUUAAUCUGCAUUAGAUUAAAUUCAAAUAAGCAUUGUAAAGAUUACAUGAUCUUUGUAUCUAAGAACAGAAAAGAAUGCAGUUGUGCAUGGCAGUGCACAAAUAUGGUAGGGCAGAUGUUACAUGAAUCUGGAUUCUCAGCAUCCAGCCUUAGCAGUUGCUUUACAGCCUUCGCAGUUGCUUUACAGCCUUCAGGAAAACAAAAUAAAACCAAGACAAACGUACUAAUAUGAGCUCAUGAAAUAGUAAAAGUACUACUGCACAAAACCAUUGUUCUACAACUCAAAGAUAUGUCGUGCAAACUAUCUAAUUCACACAUAAAUUCAUUGAGUGAGUAGAGCAAUAAGAAAAGGAUGUUUGGUUAAACGGUACAGUUUCUUUAUUUCAAGAACAUAUCCACAGGCAGAAAGUGAAAAAAGAGAGGAGAAAACAAGAGAAGGGGCUUCCUCACAAAUCACUAGCUGACAAUUAAAUAUCAGUUCUAGUUGACCAAACACAAAAAGAACAAGAAACACAUCUCAUGUUCAAUUCUAGGAAAAUAUAAUACCUGAAAGGCAAGCAAAAUCUUCUGCUUUCUCAUAUUUACUUCAACAGAAAGUAAGUGCGUCUCCAAAGAAUCAGGUGAGUUCUUCUGAAGCAACUUCAAGUACUUCGUUGCUUCUGACAAGGGAUACUCUGUCUGAAAAAAAAAAUACAGAUUAAACAGUCUUAGCUUAAUAGGCAUUAGCGUAACACAUUUUUACAGCACGAGGACUUUAAUCAGGAAUCUAAAGCACAGGGAAAAGAUAAUAAUAGGUAACCUUCAAUAAUUUUCUCCAAAAGGAUAAGGAUCUACAGGUUUAACAUGUCGUUUCCCACACUUAGAGAUGCCACUAGAACUUGAUUCUUCAUUUUUCUCCUCUGCCUCUUAAAAUAAUACACGGCAUCAGAAUGAAAUCAUCAAAGAGAGUGUUAGCCAAGAAUCACCAAAACAAGCUGAUAUACUUUCUUAGCUCGUUCCACCUUCCUCUGCUUCUUCAUUUUCUUUUUCUGAGAAGGAGUCUUUGAUGUGUCAUCCUCUUCUUCAGCCAGUGAGUUCAAAGGAGAAUCAAACAACUUUAGAUAGCAUUUGCACUUCAAAAUCCAAUAAUUAUCACAAUGCAGAAAGAAAAGGUUCAAAAUUGAAGUAAUCACCAGUUUCAAGCCAAGAGUUUCAGAGAAAGAAACACCAACAUAGAAAUGGGACCAAUGGAUCAAUCACAAAAACUAUUACUUAAUUGUUGCAUGGCCUGUCACUAUAUCAUCCCAUUCCAUUCACCAUCAAAUCAAUAAGAUCAAUAUAAAAAGCUAUAUAAUCAACAAAUAAAUUCUGGUACUUGGUAAACAUGCAAUUCUCCAUCCUUACCCAACAGAAAUCCCAGGUGCCGCCUUCCUAUCAUUUAAAAAAGCCACAAUCUCAAAUUUCAAUAUGCCUGCAAGGAACAUUUAAUCCUUUCAGUAAUAACAUCACAAGAAUAUGAAACUUACAAAAGAUAUAACGAAAGCAAAUUGAGACUACCAAGCAAAAUUUUUAUCCUGUUUGGCAUUAUACCACAAGGUCUCGACAUAAUAUAAUAAGAAUCCCCUAAGUACAACGUAAAACACCCAUCCUAAGUAUGAAACAAGUAUAUAACCUUAUAAAAAUCAGAAACUAUAAUCUAGAAUACUUGUUAAAUUAAAUUUGACUUGAGCAUCAUUUGAACACAAAUUUUUUAAGCAGAUCCAAAUAUUUGCAUCUUCUUUUAAUAGUUAAUAAUUUGUGGGAGAGCAUUUGAACUUCAGACCUCUACCAGGGCAAGAGGAGUUAUUGCAACUAAGGUAUGUGUAAAGCCACAAAAAAAAAAAAAAAAAACUGCUUUAUAAUAUAACAUAAUUGGCUUAUUAAUAGCAUUUGUUUCUGUAUGGUAAGGAUAGACAUGUAUCCACAGUUGAAAAUUCGUUAAUGGUACAUUUUCCUAUAUAUUAUGUAUUUGGUCCAUCAGGUAUAUAAAACAAAGAGACGGGGCACAAGGAUUGUCUUACAUAGCAUUCUGAUACAUAAUACUAAUUUAAUCACAUACAUAUCAAUUAGAUCAACAAAUGAAUCAACAACAGCCUCUUAUUUGAACUCUAAAACUCUCAUUUGUAUUCCUUAUACAAAUGAAAUUGAAAAAACAGAUUGAUUAACAUUAUUUGAAAAAAUCAUAAAGUUCAUAACGAACUUAAAAUCAUUGUGCAUAUCAAAAUGACUAGUAUUGUAGACACCGAUUUUGUCCGGGUCUACUGUUUUAAUAAUAAUAAUAAUAUUUUUAAUAAAAAAAUUAUUAAUAAACAAAACAAAAAAAAAAAAACAAACAAAAGAAACAGAAUAAGACAGAAAUCAGGGAGUUGGUACGGCGCCGCUGUCGCCAGCCUCCGACCAGCCACCCUACAGCCACCAACCAACUACCCUACAGCCACCUAGAUCCCCCUAAUUUAAGCCUUUAAAAAUCUCCAGCCACUUCCCCUUCAAGAAGGAGGAAGCUGGCUGGAAUCCCCAUUCAACCUUGCUCUAAAAAUUCCCUUUUCUGAAACCUCUCCCUCGAAUCCCUCCUUUUCCGAAAUCUCUCUCGAACGCAUAGGAACCCGUUCACUUCAUCCCUACCAAAAAUCACCAAACGAGCUACCCCUCCCUCAAAACACUCCCAAACACCCAAAAUACCCAA
rnacentral:lncRNA from 1 species